UCCUUGGAAUAGGACCAUUAUUUUGGCAGGGCUGCAGGCUGUCAUCGUCGGGGCGCCGAUUCAUUUGGGGGGGGUGGAUUGUAGCCCUGGCAUGUUCGGCACUCCUGUGUGUGUGUGCGUAACGGAUUAGGGCGGAGACAGGCAAUCACGGGGGCAGCUGGGGUCCUGUGGUUCAGGUAUUUAGGUAGACAGCCCGGGGUCCUUAGGGCAGGGCAGUGUGGCUAGGCUAACAGCAGAGCGAGUGACAGCGUUUGGACGAGGAGCUGUUUGUGUCAGGCAUGCACAUUGUAAAGGUACGUGGUGUUUGUGUGUAGACACUCGACUAUAAGUACAAUACUACUAGUUAGUGUUUAAGGUGUCUUUAUGCUUGCAAAGUGUGGGACCAGCAUGGAGGAGACGCCGUGACUCCCUGUAGCGUGUUCAUUGUUGGAAAGCAGAGCUGAGGUGGUGUGCGGUGCCGUGACCGUGUUUACUGUGCAGUCCAGGGCAUAUUGGGACCACAUGAAGCUGAGCUAGCCUCCGAUCGACACUGGUCAUUUUAUAACGCAGAUCAUACGGCACUUGGGUUGCCAGCUGCUUUUUCUUGGUUUCCUACGUGUGUUCUUUGUUUUAGUACUGUUUGUUUUUAUAUUUUUAUUUCUUUUGUCUCCGUGGUUUUGUGAUUUGUACUCCUGUUUUAUAUGCUCAAAUGUGGUCGAAGUAUGUACUGGGCUAACCGUGUGGAGUUGGGAUAUUGCUAAUUUGGGUAUCCACUAGUGUGAUUUUUGCAGUGCAAUGUAGAGUGAGUGCUAUGUGCAAUAUAGUGUGUCACUGGUUUUAAAAAUUCUUCACGUGUGGUAAGGAUAUCUUAUAUGGGACUCCCAACUCCAGCACUUUGCCCAGCAAGGUAGUGGUUUUUACUUUCUUUUAUGGAUCAAGCUGAUACGAAUACUGACAACUUCUGGGACAAUUAAUAAACUGUUUGACUUGUAUUAUUCUAA